ACAUUUCUUAUUAAAUUUUAUAAUAAGUAUAACCGCUCAAUGAAUAUUAAAUAGCCGCAAAUUUCAUGUGCUAAGGUAGCAUAAUCAUUUGUUUUUUUAAUUAAAAACUAGAAUGAAAGGUUAAACAUUUAAAUUUUUUUAUUUAUAUUAUUAUAUAAAAUUAUAUUAAAUAUAAAAAUAUAUUUAUAAAAUAAAAAGACGACAAGACCCUAUUGAACUUUACUUAUGUUUAACUGGGGCAGUUAUAUAAAUAAAAUCUUAUUUAUUUUUAAUAAAUGAUCCAAUAAAAUUGAUUUAAUAAACAAGUUACCAUAGGGAUAACAGC
rnacentral:rRNA from 1 species